AUUUGAGUAGUUUAUUAGAACAUUGUGUUGAAGAUACAAAUGAAGAUUAUUAUCUCUUAAAUA
rnacentral:tRNA from 1 species